UCUCUUGAGAGCGGCGGACGGGUGAGUAAUGCCUAGGAAUCUGCCUGGUAGUGGGGGAUAACGUUCGGAAACGGACGCUAAUACCGCAUACGUCCUACGGGAGAAAGCAGGGGACCUUCGGGCCUUGCGCUAUCAGAUGAGCCUAGGUCGGAUUAGCUAGUUGGUGGGGUAAUGGCUCACCAAGGCGACGAUCCGUAACUGGUCUGAGAGGAUGAUCAGUCACACUGGAACUGAGACACGGUCCAGACUCCUACGGGAGGCAGCAGUGGGGAAUAUUGGACAAUGGGCGAAAGCCUGAUCCAGCCAUGCCGCGUGUGUGAAGAAGGUCUUCGGAUUGUAAAGCACUUUAAGUUGGGAGGAAGGGCAGUAAAUUAAUACUUUGCUGUUUUGACGUUACCGACAGAAUAAGCACCGGCUAACUCUGUGCCAGCAGCCGCGGUAAUACAGAGGGUGCAAGCGUUAAUCGGAAUUACUGGGCGUAAAGCGCGCGUAGGUGGUUC
rnacentral:rRNA from 1 species